GGAGUCUAGCAUGUGCGCGAGUCAUUGGGACAUAACUAAACCUAAAGGCGUAAUGAAAGUGAAAGUUCGUCUUGCAUGAACUUAGGGAGGAUGGGUAACCGUUUCGGCUGUUGCUCCGCACUCCCGGGGCGUCUCAUUCUCAUUGCGAGAAGAGGCGCACCAAGAGCGUACACGCUGGGACCCGAAAGAUGGUGAACUAUGCCUGGUCAGGACGAAGUCAGGGGAAACCCUGAUGGAGGUCCGUAGCGAUUCUGACGUGCAAAUCGAUCGUCGGAACUGGGUAUAGGGGCGAAAGACUAAUCGAACCAUCUAGUAGCUGGUUCCCUCCGAAGUUUCCCUCAGGAUAGCUGGCGCUCGUCGCCUACGAGUUUCAUCCGGUAAAGCGAAUGAUUAGAGGCAUUGGGGUCGAAACGGCCUCAACCUAUUCUCAAACUUUAAAUGGGUGAGAUCUCCGGCUUGCUCGAAUUCAUGAAGCCGUGAGAAUCGAAUCAGAGUGCCAAGUGGGCCAUUUUUGGUAAGCAGAACUGGCGCUGUGGGAUGAACCAAACGCCGAGUUAAAGCGCCUAAAUCGACGCUUAUGGGAUACCAUGAAAGGCGUUGGUAACUUAAGACAUCAGGACGGUGGCCAUGGAAGUC
rnacentral:rRNA from 1 species